GAUGAACGCUGGCGGCGUGCUUAACACAUGCAAGUCGAGCGGAAAGGCGAGGAGCUUGCUGGUCGCACGUGAGCGGCGGACGGGUGAGUCACACGUGGAUCACCUACCUAUAAGACUGAGAUAACUUGGGGAAUCGGGAGCUAACAGCGGAUGAGAUAUUGAACCGCAGGGGUCUUUGGAGAAAGACGGUUUUGCGGUCACUUAUCGAUGGAUCCGCGCCGCAUUAGCUAGUUGGUAAGGUAACGGCUUACCAAGGCGACGAUGCGUAGCCGACGUGAGAGGGUGGUCGGCCACACGGGAACUGGGACACCGUCCAGACUCCUACGGGAGGCAGCAGUAGGGAACCGUCCGCAAUGGGCGAAAGCCUGACGCAGCAACGGCGCGUGAGUGAUGAAGGUCUUCGGAUCGUAAAACUCGGUUACUAGGUAAGAACAAGUUUGUAAGUAACUAUGCACUUCUUGACGGUACCGAGUCAGAAAGCCACGGCUAACUACGUG
rnacentral:rRNA from 1 species